UACGUAGGCAGCGAGCGUUGUUCGGAGUUACUGGGCGUAAAGGGUGUGUAGGCGGCUCCCUAAGUUUGGUGUGAAAUCUCCCGGCUCAACCGGGAGGGUGCGCCGAAAACUGGGGGGCUAGAGUGCGGGAUGGGAAAGUGGAAUUCCUGGUGUAGCGGUGAAAUGCGUAGAUAUCAGGAGGAACACCGAUAGCGAAGGCAGCUCGCUGGGACGGUACUGACGCUGAGGCGCGAAAGCGUGGGGAGCGAACAGG
rnacentral:rRNA from 1 species